AGCUGAUGCACAUGGCGACCUUCUCCCAAUGUCGCCGCAGCAGCUGUUCCCCUCUGGAGGUCACAGACCUUCAAACUUGAAAAGGGCCCUGGUUUCCAGUGGCCCUCUUUU
rnacentral:sRNA from 1 species